rnacentral:rRNA from 1 species
UGAGGAAUCUUGCGCAAUGGGCGAAAGCCUGACACAGCGACGCCGCGUGAGGGAUGAAGGCCUUCGGGUUGUAAACCUCUGUCAGGGGGGAAGAAUCCGGAGUCGGUGAAUACCCGACUCCACUGACGGUACCCCCAGAGGAAGCACCGGCUAACUCCGUGCCAGCAGCCGCGGUAAGACGGAGGGUGCAAACGUUGUUCGGAAUCACUGGGCGUAAAGGGCGCGUAGGCGGACUCGUAAGUCGGGAGUGAAAACUCGGGGCUCAACCCCGAGCCUGCUUCUGAAACUGCGAGUCUUGAGGACCGGAGAGGAAAGUGGAAUUCCUAGUGUAGCGGUGGAAUGCGUAGAUAUUAGGAAGAACACCAGUGGCGAAGGCGACUUUCUGGACGGUUCCUGACGCUGAGGCGCGAAAGCUAGGGGAGCAAACAGGAUUAGAUACCCUGGUAGUCCUAGCCGUAAACGAUGAGUGCUAGGUGGUGGUAGUUUCAACACUUUCACCGCCGCAGCCAACGC